AUGAACUGGAUUUUUCGGCGGCCCACCCUUCACUGGACAGUGGAUUUGUGGAGGAAGGGACCCCACGGGAGGCACACGUCUGGAAAGAAGAAAGGGACCUUAGCAGAGAUGGCGGGGGGAGCACGCAGACAUCAAGUCUUGCAACCUCCGAAACACGUGCAGGGCCCCGUUGGGGUGGGAAAGUCAAAUCGUAGAGUGCAGCCUAAAUGGUGUGAUCUUGACUUUUGGCAAUGAAUCCCCGACCUUUUGAAAAAUCUCAUUGUAUCUUGACACAACGUUCUCCAUCUGCUUAUGAAGGAGCUAUUGACAAUAUGUAAAUCACAAUUGUAUGAGUGAAGACUUUUGGGUGGCUUACAAGCUUCAGAACCCAACUUGAGCUCCAGGAAAAUAGAGGAGUUGCGCUGAUUCCCAUCAACCAAACUGAGGGAAGAAAAAAUGUCCUGCAUAGGACCAGGGAUAAAUGGAUUGAGGACUCCAGUGUCACCAGAUCCUGUUCUCCAUCUCUCAUUCCUAGUUCUUUUUCCA
rnacentral:lncRNA from 1 species